AGCGAACGCUGGCGGCAGGCCUAACACAUGCAAGUCGAGCGCCGUAGCAAUACGGAGCGGCAGACGGGAGAGUAACACGUGGGAACGUACCCUUUGGUUCGGAACAACCCAGGGGAACUUGGGCUAAUACCGGAUAAGCCCUCACGGGGAAAGAUUCAUCGCCGAAGGAUCGGCCCGCGUCUGAUUAGCUAGUUGGUGGGGUAAUGGCCCACCAAGGCGACGAUCAGUAGCUGGUCUGAGAGGAUGAUCAGCCUCACUGGGACUGAGACACGGCCCAGACUCCUACGGGAGGCAGCAGUGGGGAAUAUUGGACAAUGGGCGCAAGCCGGAUCCAGCCAUGCCGCGUGGGUGAUGAAGGCCCUAGGGUUGUAAAGCCCUUUCGGCGGGGAAGAUAAUGACGGUACCCGCAGAAGAAGCCCCGGCUAACUUCGUGCCAGCAGCCGCCGUAACAC
rnacentral:rRNA from 1 species